rnacentral:lncRNA from 1 species
AAACAAUCAACUUCCAAACUUCAAUCAAACAGGGACCAAUCAGACUUGAAGCACUACAACAGGAAUUAGUUGACAAAAUGAUUGUAUCAACUUUGAGACAUGAAUCAAACACGGAGCAAUCAGUCUUGAAGCACUACAGUACAAAUCAAUUGACAAAUUACUCUAUCAACUUUCAGAUUUGAAGAACUACAGACGUAAAUCAACUUUCAGAAUCUAUUACAUACUAAUAAUGUAAAUGCAGAGUAUGUGACACAACUAUAUAGGGAUUGAGGGGGACUUAUAAUCUGCACAUUGGUGUCAUCAGUAAUUAUUGUUUG